UUUAACAACAUGCAAUUCACGUAGCAUCUCCCUUUUCAUUUAUAUAAUUCAGCUAUAACUUAAAUAACACAAUUGAUGGUAAAAUAGGCUAUCACUUAAAUACCACUCCUCAAAUCGGUUAUCCAUGCACUAGCCCCUAUUUUUCUACUUCAUGGGCCUUUGGAACCAUCAGUUAAAGCCCAGAAAGAACAUUCGAGGUUUAAAUCGCAAGCAGCCAUGGAAACCCUAAUGACACCAUUUUCAGAUACUAUAAAUAUAUAGCCCGUUCUUCUCCUCCUCCUCCAGUCGUGCCUUGCUUAAACUUAUCAAUGGCGGAAAAAUUGUCUAUGUGAGUUUCAGAGUUUGAGAGUCCUGUGUUUUAUUUGAUUUUCGUAUUGUUAUUAUGAUACAUUUUUCUUUCUAUGAAUAUGUGAAGCCGCUUGAUGAUUUUUGGAUUAAUAUUCUCACGACGGUCGUCUGAGAGCAAGCAUAAUGAUGACACAAAAUUUAUUCCGAUUAUUCAUGAAAGGAAUACCAACCUCCUACUCAUUCUGAAUGCUUGCCUUUUCCUUUUCACUUUGUCUCAACUCUGCUUAUAGCUUUUAGCUCGUAUUUGCAAUUCUGAACUGUUUUGAUUUGUUAUUCGUCUAUUCCGAACUCUCUUUAUUCUUAGCACGAUGAGGAUAAAUGUUUAUGAGAUCGAAAGAUCAUUGAUAUCAUAAAAAUUUAACAAUUAGUCCUUUUCAUUCUGAGUGCCUCGUAAUUGUUGUUCAUAAUAAAUCAUAAAAAUUCAUAAGUUUUUUCUAUAUUUUGAUUUGUUUAAAAUGGAAAUUGUGAAUAACAUAAUGGGUCUGGAGUUUGACUCUUUGGCAAUUGAAAUAGCCACGCCUUAGGGAUGAAUGCAGUACCCUAUAUAGAUUUUCCCCCUGUUGAAUUCUUGUGGUUUUAUUUGAUAAACCUGCUUGAACAUCUUCGAGGGGAACACUUUAUUGUGCUGUAUUUUUUUCAAAAAAAAAUCAAUUUAUUGUGGUGAAUUUGUGAAACCCUAUGAUGAUUUUUGGAUUAAUAUUCUCACGAUGGUCAUUUGAGGUACUCUUGUGUGCCUAACUGAUGAAACAUCCCAACUUUCUGAUGGUUAU